rnacentral:rRNA from 1 species
UACGGAGGGGGCUAGCGUUGUUCGGAAUUACUGGGCGUAAAGCGCGCGUAGGCGGCUUUGUAAGUUAGAGGUGAAAGCCCGGAGCUCAACUCCGGAAUUGCCUUUAAGACUGCAUCGCUAGAAUCAUGGAGAGGUGAGUGGAAUUCCGAGUGUAGAGGUGAAAUUCGUAGAUAUUCGCAAGAACACCAGUGGCGAAGGCGGCUCACUGGCCCGAUACUGACGCUGAGGCACGAAAGCGUGGGGAGCAAACAGGG